UACGGAGGGAGCUAGCGUUAUUCGGAAUUACUGGGCGUAAAGCGCACGUAGGCGGCUUUGUAAGUUAGAGGUGAAAGCCUGGAGCUCAACUCCAGAAUUGCCUUUAAGACUGCAUCGCUUGAAUCCAGGAGAGGUGAGUGGAAUUCCGAGUGUAGAGGUGAAAUUCGUAGAUAUUCGGAAGAACACCAGUGGCGAAGGCGGCUCACUGGCCUGAUACUGACGCUGAUGCACGAAAGCGUGGGGAGCAAACAGGA
rnacentral:rRNA from 1 species